AUUUCCGGUUGAUCCUGGCGGACCCGACUGCUAUCGGAUUGGGAUUUAGCCAUGUUAGUUGAGCGUUCCUUGGCUACAGGGGACGCAGCGCACGGCUCAGUAACACGUAGUCAACCUGCCCUGGAGACGUGGACAAACCCGGGAAACUGGGGCUGAUCCACGAUAGAUGACCUCAUCUGGAAGGAGAGGUCGUCCAAAAGGCGGCGCGAGUAUGCUUCGCGUUUUCCGCUCUAGGAUGGGACUGCGGCCGAUCAGGCUGUUGGCGGGGUAAUGGCCCACCAAACCUGUAACCGGUACGGGCUUUGAGAGAAGGAGCCCGGAGAUGGACACUGAGACAAGGGUCCAGGCCCUACGGGGCGCAUCAGGCGCGAAAACUUCGCAAUGCGCGAAAGCGUGACGAGGCUAGUCCGAGUGCCUUCCGCUGAGGAGGGCUUUUCUCGGCUGUAAAUAGGCCGGGGAAUAAGGGGAGGGCAAGUCUGGUGUCAGCCGCCGCGGUAAUACCAGCUCCUCGAGUGGUCGGGACGAUUAUUGGGCCUAAAGCACCCGUAGCCUGUUCAGUAAGUCCUCUGUUAAAUCCAAUCGCUCAACGGUUGGCACGCAGAGGAUACUGUUGGACUAGGAGGCGGGAGAGGCGGACGGUACUCCGCGUGUAGGGGUAAAAUCCUUUGAUCCGCGGAAGACCACCAGUGGCGAANGCGGUCCGCCAGAACGCGCUCGACGGUGAGGGGUGAAAGCUGGGGGGAG
rnacentral:rRNA from 1 species